rnacentral:rRNA from 1 species
GUAUAAGAGACAGCAGCCGCCACGGUAAUACGUAGGUGGCAAGCGUUGUCCGGAAUUAUUGGGCGUAAAGGGCUCGCAGGCGGUUUCUUAAGUCUGAUGUGAAAGCCCCCGGCUCAACCGGGGAGGGUCAUUGGAAACUGGGAAACUUGAGUGCAGAAGAGGAGAGUGGAAUUCCACGUGUAGCGGUGAAAUGCGUAGAGAUGUGGAGGAACACCAGUGGCGAAGGCGACUCUCUGGUCUGUAACUGACGCUGAGGAGCGAAAGCGUGGGGAGCGAACAGGAUUAGAUACCCCAGUAGUCCCUGUCUCUUAUAA